rnacentral:rRNA from 1 species
UACAGAGGGUGCGAGCGUUGUCCGGAAUCACUGGGCGUAAAGGGCGCGUAGGCGGCUUUUCAAGCGUGCGGUGAAAGCUCAGGGCUCAACCCUGAGUCGGCCGUGCGAACUGGGAAGCUGGAGCACGGUAGAGGCACAUGGAAUUCCGGGUGUAGCGGUGGAAUGCGUAGAGAUCCGGAAGAACACCGGUGGCGAAGGCGGUGUGCUGGGCCGUUGCUGACGCUGAGGCGCGACAGCGUGGGGAGCAAAC